AAAGGAAUAGACGGGGGCCCGCACAAGCGGAGGAGCAUGUGGUUUAAUUCGAUGAUACGCGAGGAACCUUACCUAGACUUGAACGUAUAUUGAAUACUAUAGAAAUAUAGUAGUUAGCAAUAACGAUAUACGAGGUGCUGCAUGGUUGUCGUCAGCUCGUGCCGUGAGGUGUCAGGUUAAGUCCUAUAACGAGCGCAACCCUUACACUUAGUUGCCAGCAUGUUAUGGUGGGGACUCUAAGUGGACUGCCUGCGUAAGCAGUGAGGAAGGAGGGGAUGACGUCAAAUCAGCACGGCCCUUACGUCUAGGGCGACACACGUGCUACAAUGGUAGGUACAGAGGGCAGCUACAUAGUGAUAUGGUGCGAAUCUCUAAAGCCUAUCUCAGUUCGGAUAGGAGUCUGCAACCCGACUCCUUGAAGUUGGAUUCGCUAGUAAUCGCAGAUCAGCCAUGCUGCGGUGAAUACGUUCCCGGGCCUUGUACACACCGCCCGU
rnacentral:rRNA from 1 species